rnacentral:rRNA from 1 species
CAAAAACAUCGCCUCCCGCAAAAAUCAACGUAUAGGAGGUCUUGCCUGCCCAGUGACUGCAAGUUAAACGGCCGCGGUAUUUUGACCGUGCAAAGGUAGCGCAAUCACUUGUCUUUUAAAUGAAGACCUGUAUGAAUGGUGAAACGAGGGCUUAACUGUCUCCCUCCCCCAGUCAAUGAAAUUGAUCUACCCGUGCAGAAGCGGGUCUAAUACUACAAGACGAGAAGACCCUUUGGAGCUUAAGGUACAAGACCAACUAUGUUAAAAGUCCAAAAUAAGCCUAAACCAAAUAGCCCUGGUCCCUACCUUCGGUUGGGGCGACCACGGGAGAAAACGAAGCUCCCACGCAGAUUGGGGAAACCCCCUAAAACCAAGAGAAACAUCUCUAAGACGCAGAAUAUCUGACCAUAUUGAUCCGGCCACACGCCGACCAACGAACCAAGUUACCCUAGGGAUAACAGCGCAAUCCCCUUCCAGAGUCCAUAUCGACAAGGGGGUUUACGACCUCGAUGUUGGAUCAGGACAUCCUAAUGGUGCAGCCGCUAUUAAGGGUUC